UGGCGUCUUCUUCCUCUCAUCCGGUCCUGAAACCAGAAAUCGGCGGCGUUGGAUGUGGUGGCGGAAGCAGCGGAGGUGGUGGUGGAGAGAGUUCAGAGGCUGCAGUGAUAGCGAACGAUCAGUUAUUACUGUACAGAGGACUAAAGAAGCCAAAGAAAGAGAGAGGAUGCACUGCAAAAGAACGUAUUAGCAAGAUGCCUCCUUGCACUGCUGGUAAACGUAGCUCUAUUUACCGUGGUGUCACCAGGUAUAAAUAUACGUAUUGUUGGGUGUAUUUGUACCUGUAUACGUUUGUACAAUAUUCUUAUUUAGGGUUUAGGUUUAAAGUUUGGAGCUUUUUAUGUUUUGUAUAAAUUAGUGUGUUGUGAGGUGUGAUUGUGUAUGGAUGAAAUGGAAGUUAGAAAGCUAGUUGUUUGUGCUAUGUGGAUUACGUGUUUGAUGAUAUGUGUAAAUGAGUGUUUUUGUGGAUCAAUGUAGUAGAAUUGGGUCCUGGAAAAGAAAAGGAGUUUUUGUUUUUGUUUAAGUGAUAUAAAUAAGAAGUUGGCUCAUUUUUAGAAGCUUGUAACUUUGUGAUUUGAGGAAGAUAACAAUAGUGUAUGGGGUGGUUACUGUUUAAGGGUAAUUGUUAGAGAAUGAUAGUAGUUUAUGAGGUAGUUUAGAGGUUUUAGUGAUUAGGGAUUGAAAGGAAAGUAGUUUGAUAGUUAAGGGUUUUAGUUGUAGUAGUUUAGUAAAAGAAGGACUUAGUUUAUAGUAUGGAAAUGGUUGAAGAAUGUGGGAUACACAAGCAAAAACUUUGUUGAUAGGAAAUAUAGUACAAGAAGGAGAGUUUUAGAACAAAGGUUUUAAACUUAGCAUAGUUUUUUUGGCCUGCCUUACAAGUGAUGGUUGCAUGACU
rnacentral:lncRNA from 1 species